GAUGAACGCUGGCGGCGUGCUUAACACAUGCAAGUCGAACGGAAAGGCCCAAGCUUGCUUGGGUCCUCGAGUGGCGAACGGGUGAGUAACACGUGGGUUAUCUGCCCUGCACUUCGGGAUAAGCCUGGGAAACUGGGUCUAAUACCGGAUAGGACGAUGGUUUGGAUGCCAUUGUGGAAAGUUUUUUCGGUGUGGGAUGAGCUCGCGGCCUCUCAGCUUGUUGGUGGGGUAAUGGCCUACCAAGGCGUCGACGGGUAGCCGGCCUGAGAGGGUGUACGGCGAUAUUGGGCAUGAGGUCCGGCACAGACCCCUGAGGGAGGCAGGAGUGGGGAAUAUUGAACAAUGGGCGAAAGGCUGAUGCAGCGACGCCGCGUGGGGGAUGACGGCCGUCGGGUUGUAAACUCCUUUCGCUAGGGACGAAGCGUUUUUGUGACGGUACCUGGAGAAGAAGCACCGGCUAACUACGUG
rnacentral:rRNA from 1 species